rnacentral:lncRNA from 10 species
CCCCGCCCUCCCGAGGUUAGCUCCCCAGCCAAAGAGGGGGCGCGCUUGCGCGGUGGGUGGGGCCGCGAGACUUGGUACCUAGCCAGCGGGCGGAGCGCGGAGGGGGUUUCGCUUCGGGCUAAGGGACUGUAGUUGUGACAGCCAGGAAACCGAGAACGGAAUGCCAAUACUGCUUAGGCUUAGAGUUUGAAAGGCAUCUGAUUUCACUGCCAUGUCUUUGAACAGCAGUGCACAGUGCAGUCUUCUUCGUGGCUGAACAGCCACUCGAUGUCUUUUGAUUGGAGAGUUUAAUCAAACAGAAGGAGUCUUCCAUUGUGGCCACCACAGCUGGGAAUGAGCUAAGGUCUUGCUAUGUUGCCUAGACUGGUUUUGAACUCCUGGGCUGAAGCAAUCCUCCCACUUCGGCCUCUCAAAGUGCUGGGAUAUCAGACAUGAGCCACCUGCCAUGCUUGGCCUAUCUGCCUAGGAAUAGCCAGGCAACCAGCUGCUACUUUGAGCACCCGGCUAAAAUAAGCAGAGACAACUGGAAGGCUUGAUGUGAAAAAGAGCUGUUGAAGUGUACACAAGCAAGCUGACUGCCUUAUGACUAAUACUUGACAGAACCCAGCAAGAGGAUAUGAGAUUGCAGAUGGAUGACCUCAAUCCUGAACAGAAAGGCGUGCAUGAUAAUGGAGAGAAAAAAGCCAAUGGGGAAAAAAAACCCACCACUAUUUUUUUAAUAGCCUAACACACACACAAAAAACUGGUUUUCCUUUUUCUGUAAUGUGUCUGUAGAGCUGGCUAUUCUGAUUAAAGUUGCCCUUGAAAAAGCAAUUAACUUAAGAGUCUUACUGGAAGUUAAAAAUCCCAAGGGGCAGGAAAAAUGAGUGUAUGGGAAGCCCAGUCAACAGGUCAGAAGGUACAGCUGGGAGGUUUUAGCAUUACGUACCGUGUGUUUUUCGUUUAAGGGAGAAGCUUAUUUGCUCACUGCUAUAGUUUGGAUGUUUGUCCCCUUCAAAUCUUGUGAUGGAAUCUGAUCCCCAGUGUUGGAAGUGGGGCCUAAUGGGAGGUGUUUGGGUC